rnacentral:rRNA from 1 species
AUUGAACGCUGGCGGCAGGCUUAACACAUGCAAGUCGAGCGGAGCGAGGGUGCUUGCACCUUAGCUUAGCGGCGGACGGGUGAGUAAUGCUUAGGAAUCUGCCUAUUAGUGGGGGACAACAUUCCGAAAGGAAUGCUAAUACCGCAUACGCCCUACGGGGGAAAGCAGGGGACCUUCGGACCUUGCGCUAAUAGAUGAGCCUAAGUCGGAUUAGCUAGUUGGUGGGGUAAAGGCCUACCAAGGCGACGAUCUGUAGCGGGUCUGAGAGGAUGAUCCGCCACACUGGGACUGAGACACGGCCCAGACUCCUACGGGAGGCAGCAUUGGGGAAUAUUGGACAAUGGGCGGAAGCCUGAUCCAGCCAUGCCGCGUGUGUGAAGAAGGCCUUUUGGUUGUAAAGCACUUUAAGCGAGGAGGAGGCUACUUAGAUUAAUACUCUGGGAUAGUGGACGUUACUCGCAGAAUAAGCACCGGCUAACUCUGUGCCAGCCGCCGCAGUAACAC